GAUGAACGCUGGCGGCGUGCUUAACACAUGCAAGUCGAACGGAAAGGCCCAAGCUUGCUUGGGUACUCGAGUGGCGAACGGGUGAGUAACACGUGGGUGAUCUGCCCUGCACUUCGGGAUAAGCCUGGGAAACUGGGUCUAAUACCGGAUAGGACGAUGGUUUGGAUGCCAUUGUGGAAAGGUUUUUCGGUGUGGGAUGAGCUCGCGGCCUAUCAGCUUGUUGGUGGGGUAAUGGCCUAGCAAGGCGUCGACGGGUAGCCGGCCUGAGAGGGUGUACGGCCACAUUGGGACUGAGAUACGGCCCAGACUCCUACGGGAGGCAGUAGUGGGGAAGAUUGCACAAUGGGCGCAAGCCUGAUGCAGCGACGCCGCGUGGGGGAUGACGGCCUUCGGGUUGUAAACUCCUUUCGCUAGGGACGAAGCGUUUUGUGACGGUACCUGGAGAAGAAGCACCGGCUAACUACGUG
rnacentral:rRNA from 1 species